UACGUAGGGUGCGAGCGUUAAUCGGAAUUACUGGGCGUAAAGCGUGCGCAGGCGGUUUUAUAAGUCAGAUGUGAAAUCCCCGAGCUCAACUUGGGAACUGCGUUUGAAACUACAAGACUAGAAUAUGUCAGAGGGGGGUAGAAUUCCACGUGUAGCAGUGAAAUGCGUAGAGAUGUGGAGGAAUACCAAUGGCGAAGGCAGCCCCCUGGGAUAAUAUUGACGCUCAUGCACGAAAGCGUGGGGAGCAAACAGG
rnacentral:rRNA from 1 species